GGCUGGAACAGUACUCGGCUUCGGUCGAUAUUGUUCUCAGUCAUCCGUAUGAGAAGCUAACUCGCUCUUCGCGGGGCGGCUAGUGUAUCAUACAAUUUACUUUGAAAAAAUUAGAGUGUUUCAAGCAGGCCAUUGCUGGGAUACACAAGCAUGGAAUAAUGGAAUAGGACUUUAACUUAUUUUAUUGGUAUAUUAAGUUGAAGUA
rnacentral:rRNA from 1 species